ACUCAGAGGCUGGUGGCUCUUUCUGGAGCAUUCAAUGCUUCAAUGUGUUUGUAGGAGGGAGGCCUGUGUGGGAAGGCUCACCGCCCGUUCCCCAGGACACAGCAGAGUACAACUGCUAGAAUUCCCUGAAAACGCAGCAACUGCUGGACCGGGUCACCGGGAAACGUUUCCGAGGGAACUCACAGCUUGAAGAAAGGGCUCCGGGGCAUCUGGACAGCAGCUUUCCCACCUUCUCCAGCAGGUGCCUCCCGCUGUCACCGGACCAGCCAGGUCCUUAAAAGGCAAGGCUCCCGCUCACCUAAGCGCAGGAAGGUCCGUGGGCAGGGCGUGGUGGUCCCGGGGACCAGAAGCUGCUGGCUGCCUUCCUGCUCACAGUGGGGCUGGAAGCGCCGCCCCCACCCCCCGCUGGCUCCUGACACACUGGAGGUCUGAGUGUGCGGCAGCCCAGGACCCGACAAGCCCAGGCCCACGGCCUCUGGUGGCUGUUCUGCUCCGCCAAGGGCCCUCACCGCUCUUACUGCUCCCUUAGGUAGAUCAUUCGGGGUUCGUGGAUGCUGCAGGAGCAACCCGAGAGGCGGACGUUCAGUGGCCGUUGCCCAGCAGUCCCGUGGUACCUCGGGCUGCCCGUCCCCACCUUCCAGGCGAGCCCGACGCCAGAGAGGUCAUUAACAGAGGACGGCCAUGGGUCGGUGUCUGGAGUGAGCACAGAUGUUCUCUUUCACUUACCUUAACUAAACGGUGUAUAGAUCAGAAUUCCCCCGAAGGCAGUUUUACCAUAAGGAGUUACAUUUGUACAGUUAAAACAUCGGCACAUAAAGUAUGUCUCAUAGACAGCCGGCUCCCUCCCGCUUUGGGGGUGAACAGAACCGAGCUGCUUGGGGGAGGGUGGUGCGUGGUAUGCACAGUAGGAGUCAGGACGGGGGCCACAGUGAGGAGCUUUCACAUUCCAGUCUCAGGUCUCAGAGCCAGCGAGAGAGAAGGCAAUCCCUUCAGGGCUGUGUCACCUGUCCCCUCCCCUCCCCUUUCCCCUCCUGUCCCCUCCCGGUCCCUGCACAAGCGGAAAAGCGCCCCCCACAGCACUGCCUGCUCCCUUCAUUGAUAAAGCCAGCACAGGCCAUCACCCAUGUUGCUCCUAUGGAAGGAAGUCUUGCACAACCAAGGCGAAGUGUGGUAACGUGAAAGUUAAGAAAUGCAUGAGAACAGAACUGUGCUUAGUCGGUACAUGCAAGUCAUCCCCAAACGUUCUGGGGUGCCCAGCACUGCUCGGAGCUGCGAAAAGUGCUGAUGUGUAGUGUGGGGACACUUGCCCAUUAUCAACAUCGCUGAGACUUUUAGAAAGUUAAUCAUUGUUUACAGCAGCUUUGAAUUGGGGGCUCUUCAUUUAAGGAACUGUUCCAGAUCAUAUGAUAUCUUUGGGUUGGUUUUUUUUUUGUUUUGUUUUUUUUUUUGGUACAGAUUAUGUAAAGGGAAGUCAGUGUAAGGGGCCUGGAAACUCAAGUGUGGAGGAACUGACAGUGACAGUGGGCAUUCUAGUUAAAUCUGCUUUUAUUGACAAUUCUGCAGUGACCGCUCAGCCCAGCAUGGCUCCCAUAAGGACAUGUGGCAUCCAGACUCUUCCUUAGUCUCUUUUUACCCGCAGACAUUUAAAGAAUCCUCAUUAAAACUACGUAGAGUGAAGCAGAGAGACCACGUUAUAAAAUAAACCUAGUUAAAUACA